AGGGGCGUAGGUUUAACGGCAGACCGCCGGUCUCCAAAACCGGAUGUGGGGGUUCGAAUCCCUCCGCCCCUGCCA
rnacentral:tRNA from 1 species